GCAUUGGUAGUUCAGUGGGAGAAUUCUCACCUUCCAUGGGAAAGACCUGGGUUCAAUUCCCAGCCAGUGCA